UACAGAGGGGGCAAGCGUUAUUCGGAAUUAUUGGGCGUAAAGGGCGCGUAGGCGGCCUGGCAAGUGGAUGGUGAAAUCCCUCGGCUUAACCGAGGAACUGCCAUCAAGACUGCUUGGCUUGAGACCGGGAGAGGUGAGUGGAAUUCCCAGUGUAGCGGUGAAAUGCGUAGAUAUUGGGAGGAACACCAGUGGCGAAGGCGGCUCACUGGACCGGUACUGACGCUGAGGCGCGAAAGCGUGGGGAGCAAACGGG
rnacentral:rRNA from 1 species